GUGGGGCUGGCUUUUUAUAUUGC
rnacentral:piRNA from 1 species